AUCUGUGAUAGUCGACUUAAAAAUGUUUAAUGUUUUUAAGCAAAAACUUUUAGAGUGCUUCGGGCAAUAAAAGAAUAUUCGUCUUUUAGCGAUAACUUGAUUGUUUGCCCAAUAAAUCGCCAAGCCAAGAAAAGGCUUAGGAGUCGCAUGCAACAAAGUGUUACUGAUAACAACUUUGGUACAAGUUCGAAUCCUCCAAAACGGUUCCUUAAUUCAUAUAAAGCGAAACAGCAUUUUUUUUUUUAGCAAAAAACAC